rnacentral:rRNA from 1 species
GAUGAACGCUGGCGGCGUGCCUAAUACAUGCAAGUCGAGCGAACAGAUGAGGAGCUUGCUCCUCUAACGUUAGCGGCGGACGGGUGAGUAACACGUGGCUAACCUACCUAUCAGACUGGACUAACUUCGAGACACCGGAGCUCAUACCAGAUAAUAUAUUCAACCGCAUGGUUCAAUGGAGAAAGACGGCUUUGCUGUCCCUUAUAGCUGGAUCCGCGCCGCAUUAGCUAGUUGGUAAGGUAACGGCAUACCGAGGCAACGAUGCGGAGCCGACCUGAGCGGGAGAGGGGCCACGCUGGAGCGGAGACACGGCCCAGAGGCGUAUGGGAGGCAGCAGUUGCGAAUAUGCGGGGAUGGGGGAGAGCAUGUCGGAGCAAGGCCGCGUGAGUGAUGAAGGUCUUCGGAUUGUAAGAAGCUGGUAUUAGGGAAGAACAAAGGUGUAAGUAAGGAUGCACGUAGUGACGGUACCUAAUGAGAAAGCCACGGCUAACUACGUG